UACGAAGGGUGCUAGCGUUGUUCGGAAUUACUGGGCGUAAAGAGCGCGUAGGCGGUUGUACUAGUCAGGGGUGAAAUCCCAGAGCUUAACUCUGGAACUGCCUUUGAAACUGCGCAGCUGGAGUGUGUGAGGGGAUAGCGGAAUUCCUAAUGUAGAGGUGAAAUUCGUAGAUAUUAGGAGGAACACCGGUGGCGAAGGCGGCUAUCUGGCACACAACUGACGCUGAGGCGCGAAAGCGUGGGGAUCAAACAGG
rnacentral:rRNA from 1 species